GACGAACGCUGGCGGCGUGCUUAACACAUGCAAGUCGAACGGAAAGGCCUGCUUUCCCUUGUGGAUUGCGGGUACUCGAGUGGCGAACGGGUGAGUAACACGUGAGUGAUCUGCCCCCAACUUGGGUAUAAGCCUGGGAAACUGGGUCUAAUUCCCGAUAGGACUGCAGGGUGGUGCCUGUGGUGGAAAACGAUUUUCUAGUGGUUGGGGAUGAGCUGGCGGCCUAUCAGCUUGUUGGUGGGGUAAUGGCCUACCAAGGCGGCGACGGGUAGCCGGCCUGAGAGGGUGGACGGCCACAUUGGGACUGGGAUACGGCCCAGACUCCUACGGGAGGCAGCAGUGGGGAAUAUUGCACAAUGGGCGGAAGCCUGAUGCAGCGACGCGGCGUGGGGGAUGACGGCCUUCGGGUUGUAAACUCCUUUCGACCGCGAGGAAGCCACCUGGUUGGAAGUGUGGUGACGGUAGUGUUAGAAGAAGCACCGGCUAACUACGUG
rnacentral:rRNA from 1 species